ACAACUGAAGAGACUCUCUCUCCUUGCAAGCCACUCAGGUCAAAGAAAACUCUCACCCAUGGCGUGAGUCUCUCUCCAUGAACUCGCUCCUUCCUGGAAGAGGCUUCCCCGCACGACAAACUUUUGGUUUCUCGAGACUCAUUGUUGGUGUGACUGCGCUUCAUCUAUUUGAUCCUUUCCAUGUGGAAGUAGACAACAACCUGUUUCUCAGCCACUGUUGACUAUGGGAGCCAAGGAAUGUUGGCAACAGUCUCGUUUUGGUCAUUUUUAGAUGCAGAUCUGCAUUCCAAUUUUCUGAUAUUAUAUUUAGUUCAGUGAAAACCUGGAACAACCAGACAAGUAUUACAAAGAAUUAACAGCUUUGCAGCAUGGAGACCAGAGGAGAAAACCAGACUCAAAGUCAGUGCAAUCUAUGGCUAUUAACUGUGUGGCAAUAAGUUGCAGGACCCACUCUGCUGUAGUAAUAGAAAGAAAUGUAAGAUACAUGAAGAAAAUUACCAUGAGGAAUCAGCACCGGCAAUCCAUUAGCCUGACACAGUGUGUAAUGGGCCAUACACUGCAAACACCAAGCUGGUGAGAAUGAAAGCCACCCCACAGGAGAGAUGCCUUGGGUCUUCACACCCUGUGAUUCAAUGAUGUCUUAUAGAAGUUUAUACCUCAGAACUAUACAAUCAAGUAGAGAGUGAGGGAAAAAUUGCAGAAGUCCUGUUUAAGUAGUUUACAAUUUUGUACUGGACAGCAUCUGUUGCUUUCUCUGUCCACCCAUGACCCAUGGUCAGGGAUUGGACAAGCCAAGACCUCAGAAAGGAUCCAGGAGUCGUGGAAGUAGCAUCCUCAGUCUCUCUAUUCACUGAAGUUCAAUGACACUGCUCUGACUACCUUCCAAAGCCAAGGAUGCAGUCAUGAAAGGACGCAUCUAAACCAGCAGGGGAAAGAAACAGAGUCCUGACACAGGACCAAGCUGAAACCACCAGCAGCCCUGAUGUCAUCUCCAAUAGAGCUCCGAUAAUCAGAAAUCCAGCUCUAAAUUGCCAGCUAUAGUGAAUCCUGGUCUUAUCCAGAGUCCAGUCCACACUCAGCAAAAUAGAGAAAGACAAAGUGAAAAUCAGUAAAUAAAAAUACUUUGUCAAAAUGAGCCUGCAAACCAAAUUCUGAAGCACAAAAAGAAACAAUGCUAUCCAUGGCCAUGAUGCCUGCCAUUUUAAUUAUUCCAUGGAAAAAUAGUAAAUGGAAUAAACUGUAUUAAAAUUGUUUACU
ensembl:lincRNA 5430434I15Rik RIKEN cDNA 5430434I15 gene